rnacentral:rRNA from 1 species
AUCAAUGCGUCCUGCCGUGAGCUGGGGAAAGCCGUGUGUCCCGUGCUUUCACCGGAUCUCUGGGGCGUAAUACGAACACAUGCGGUUUAAUAUGUCGUAAGUGAAAGGCGGUGGCUUAACCAUUGUUCGCGUUGGAAACUGUUAUGCUUGAGUGCAGAAGGGGAGAGUGUAAUUCCAUGUGUAGCGGUGAAUUGCGUAGAUAGAUGGAGGAACACCGGUGGCGAAAGCGGCUCUCUGGUCUGUAACUGACGCUGAGGCUCGAAAGCGUGGGGAGCAAACAGGAUUAGAUACCCUAGUAGUC